AUUGAACGCUGGCGGCAGGCCUAAUACAUGCAAGUCGAACGCAGUGGCGGACGGGUGAGUAACACGUGGGUGACCUGCCCUGCACUUCGGGAUAAGCCUGGGAAACUGGGUCUAAUACCGGAUAGUGUGGGAUGGGCCCGCGGCCUAUCAGCUUGUUGGUGGGGUAAUGGCCUACCAAGGCGGCGACGGGUAGCCGGCCUGAGCGGGUGGACGGAAACAUUGGGAAGGAGACACGGCCCAGACUCCUACGGGAGGCAGCAGUGGGGAAUAGUGCACAAGGGGCGGAAGCCUGAUGCAGCGACGGCGCGUGGGGGAUGACGGCCUGCGGGUUGUAAACGCCUUUCACCAUCGACGCGGUAGAUGGAGAAGAAGCACCGGCUAACUACGUGCCAGCAGCCGCGGUAAUAC
rnacentral:rRNA from 1 species